CAGGGCACUCAGCGGGGUAGAAGAAGAGGUGGAGCUGAAUCUCCUGAGGCAGAGGAGCUGUCACCCGUAGCCCAUCUCUUCUCAAUCAGUAGGUGCGCUCUCUCAUUUCAAGGGUUCAGCAGAAGCUUAGAUAUAUGGAUUCAGAAGAGAUGGAAGGAAACAAAAUGAUUACAGAGAGAAGACUGCCAAAGCACAGAAAGAAUUAUGACCAAACAUCUCCUUGACUAACUUGGUGUAUCGGACCAAAUCUGUGACUGGCGCUGAACUGGAAAACAUCUAAAGGAAAUUUACCAAAACACCUGAUGGACAAAGUUGUCUGAAUGAAGACAAACUCUCAUGUGACCCCCACAGCCUGACAGUGUCUGCCCAGCUACCAAAGAACAAGACAAUAUCCAACUGAUUACUUCCGAUGCACAAUACAGGGAGCAUGGAAAAAGGCAAAGGAAAUUUCAUGCGUUUUUAAAAUUCCAAUAUGAAGAGUUUGAUCUGAGGAACAGAGCUCCCAUUCCAUAUCUUUCAUGUGUGGAAGUGCAUGGUAAGAAAGCAUAUUGUGCUGAGUGAGAAAUUGCCAUCUGGAGUACCAUUUCAUGUACUUGUGCUGUUAUAAUUAGGGACCUACUCAAUUCAGGAUUUUGUGGAAAUUGUAAAAUCGGGCAUUGUCUUCAAAAACAGGCAAUGUCUGUGAAAACUGCAAAAAACCCCCAACAAACAAACAAAAAAAAACUUGCUAAAAAAUGCUGGCUCCCCAGUAGAAACCAGAGGUCCUCAUGGGCACUGCAGCCUGGCUGCACAGCCUGCUAGUGGUGGGCACCACCGACCCAUCCAAGAUGGCAGUCAUCCCAGCCCCUCACCACUGAUUAGAUGAGUGGGAUGUAGGAUUGAGCUCUAAGAGUAUCUAUUUUCUAUUGUUUUAAGCUCCCAGUUGUUGUUUUCUCUCUCUUUUUGAAUCAAUUGUAAUAAAUUGCACUUAAA